CUCGUAUACAUCCAACUACUCAUAAUUAUAAUCUUAGGUCCGAAUCAAGCUGGUCACUCCAAACGAACACAGAACGGUUUCAAAAUUUUAUAACUGUUAAAUAUAAUUAUUAAUGUAUUAUUGAUUUAGUAGUACUCGUGUAUAUUCAGGUACCCAAUUAUAAUUUGUGGACAGAUUUAAACUGACUAUUCAGAACGAACAUUGAACGGU